UUUGGGAGGAUGAGGCAGGAGGAUCAAUUGAGUCACGGAGUUCAAGACCAGCCUGGGCAACAGAGUGAGACUCUGUCUCUACAACAAAUUUUAAAAAAAUUAGUCAGGAAAAACAAAGAUCCCCAAAGUCCAUUUCGCUCCGAGGUCAGUGGACACAGCUCUGUGACUGUCCUGUGCUGUGUGGGUCUGUAGAAGGGCCAGUCAUGGGCCAUCGAGCUACUCACAGCCAACUGCACCCAAGUCCAAGCCUGGCUCUGUUCCCAUACACAGAGACAGGAUGGGGGCUGCUGAUCUGGCCUGAAGCCUUGCUCUGGGCACUGAAAACGGGGGCUAUUUCCUUACCUGAAGAUCUGGAAGCAGCAUGUUGACAAAAGCACCAACUGCUCUGCCAUCACGUCCCACUGGGUGUCAGUGGGAAGGCCUAACCAAGGCCUGCCUCCAGUGGCUAUCAGGCAGACGGGCCAGCAGUUCCCCUCCAGGAGCAAGGGACCCUUCUUACCCUUUUGAUCACAUUUCCCUCUCUUAAAGGGGCACUGCUGUGGGAAGGGGUCAUGCCUUGGAUCCUACAGUCAUGGACUGUGGGUGAAACAGGGGCUCUUGACUCUUCACUUCCUAGCCAUAACUCUGCCCAUUGGACCACCCACCCUCCCUGCUGCUGGUCUCCUGGCUCACCCAUCAAAUCCAACUGCUUUAUCUAGAAAAUACUUUUCUCCAUUCUCAUUUCCCUUUGCUUUCCCACUCACCUCUGUUUUUGUUUCUGUUUUAUUUUGUUCCAGACACCCUUUUCAGGGAAGUAGAUCAGGGAGGCCCAAGAGAUUAGGCCUGGGUGGGCUGCUAUCGCUUAAGAACACGUCUGCCUCUGGGGCUCCUCCCUAACAGCUGGCCUCUGGAGCUGGGAGAUGCAGCUGCCUGGCAGUCUGCAGAGGCAGAUUGUGUUGUUACGUGCUGGUCACCGCCUUGAGCCUUAAACCACAGUCAGCAAUGAACCUGGAGGCAGGGCAUCUCUGGGGAUGAUCGACCGCAUCUGCUCAGGUUCUUGCAGGGCAGGGCAGGCAGAGAUGUGUGUUUGGAGCCAGAAAGCCUUCCUGCCAACCUGCCAUGCCUCAGUUUCCCUAUCUGAACCACCUUCAUAAAAACAACUUACGGCUCUCAGAGCAGCACAUUUGUAAAAACCUGAAAAAUAUAAAGAAAAACGUCACUCACAUUUCUCCCAUGAACAUUUUCCUAUUUUAUGUAUCUUUUAUGUAACUGAAUCACAUUGCAUAUACAAUUAUGUGUUCCAUUUUUAAACAAUAAGCUUCCCUUGUUUUAAAAGUAAUAAUCCAUGUUUAUUAUGUGUUAUUGCAUAGAAAUUUCAGACACAAAAAAAGAAAGGAAAAAUGACUCCUUAUUGCU
rnacentral:lncRNA from 10 species